GUUUGAUCUCCGGUACCGGAAAACAAAACAAAACAAAACAUAAAGGUAUUACGGCACCAGAGUUGGAGAUGAGAGGAACCUGGAAUCCAACUCCAGAAAGAAAGGUGAGCAACCCAGUAACGCUUACUUGGCGAGCCACUUUCAGAAGGAGCUACCGAUAACAUUUUGGCAUAGCCAGCCAGGAGAAACAGAAGCCAGGAGUUCCAGCAACACCCUCAAAGAGGAAAUGGAUACCUCAACUCGCUCUUGCUUGCAAGUUCCGGAUUUCUCCAGAAGACACAAAUCUUGCUUUUAAUGAGUAACAGGUCUGAGACCUGAGGACUUUGUCUCAAUAAUAGUAGUACCUGCCUCUUAAAUUGUA